rnacentral:rRNA from 1 species
GAUGAACGCCGGCGGCGUGCCUAAUACAUGCAAGUCGAGCGAACGGACGAGAAGCUUGCUUCUCUGAUGUUAGCGGCGGACGGGUGAGUAACACGUGGAUAACCUACCUAUAAGACUGGGAUAACUUCGGGAAACCGUAGCUAAUACCGGAUAAUAUUUUGAACCGCAUGGUUCAAUAGUGAAAGACGGUCUUGCUGUCACUUAUAGAUGGAUCCGCGCUGCAUUAGCUAGUUGGUAAGGUAACGGCUUACCAAGGCAACGAUGCAUAGCCGACCUGAGAGGGUGAUCGGCCACACUGGAACUGAGACACGGUCCAGACUCCUACGGGAGGCAGCAGUAGGGAAUCUUCCGCAAUGGGCGAAAGCAUGACGGAGCAACGCCGCGUGAGUGAUGAAGGUCUUCGGAUCGUAAAACUCUGUUAUUAGGGAAGAACAUAUGUGUAAGUAACUGUGCACAUCUUGACGGUACCUAAUCAGAAAGCCACGGCUAACUACGUG